AUACGGAGGAUCCGAGCGUUAUCCGGAUUUAUUGGGUUUAAAGGGAGCGUAGGUGGAUUGUUAAGUCAGUUGUGAAAGUUUGCGGCUCGACCGUAAAAUUGCAGUUGAAACUGGCAGUCUUGAGUACAGUAGAGGUGGGCGGAAUUCGUGGUGUAGCGGUGAAAUGCUUAGAUAUCACGAAGAACUCCGAUUGCGAAGGCAGCUCACUAGACUGUUACUGACACUGAUGCUCGAAAGUGUGGGUAUCAAACAGGAUUAGAUACCCUGGUAGUCCACACAGUAAACGAUGAAUACUCGCUGUUUGCGAUAUACAGUAAGCGGCCAAGCGAAAGCAUUAAGUAUUCCACCUGGGGAGUACGCCGGCAACGGUGAAACUCAAAUGAAUUGACGGGG
rnacentral:rRNA from 1 species